ensembl:antisense Apol7d uncharacterized LOC110321271
GGUACGGUGGGUUCGCCCCGAACAAAAGAGAUGCUGAUCUCCCGCCAGACUUCGCAGUCAUGGCAGAAUUCCACUAUCCACCCCCUCCCCCGCCGCCAGAUUUUUUAUAUUUCAAUUGUUAUCUGCUUCAAGAAUGUAUAACGUUCCACUGAAAAUUCUCCGGACUUCCUACACUACUGAGGUUGAAAAGGGGAUAGGAGAAGUCCCCAUGAAGCCAGCAGCUCUAACAAAAUGAUGUAACUCCCGAAGGCUUUGCAAAGAAGUCCACUUCAUCUAGUAAAAUGAAAAGAACUUCUGUGCAACUGCACCACUUCACUAGACGUGUCUCUACUUCCCAAGACGGGCAGCAUGUGGUUGGGAAAUCUUUAUUUAUAUUAAUUGUUGAUUCUUUUUCCAGUUUGGCUUUAUCUUAUGUUGGCAACAUGAUUUUAAGCCC